GUCGAGAAUCUUCGGCAAUGGGCGCAAGCCUGACCGAGCGACGCCGCGUGGAGGACGAAGGCCUUCGGGUUGUAAACUCCUGUCGAGGGGGAAGAAGCCGCAAGGUUGACUGAUCCCUGGAGGAAGCACGGGCUAAGUUCGUGCCAGCAGCCGCGGUAAGACGAACCGUGCGAACGUUAUUCGGAAUCACUGGGCUUAAAGCGCGUGUAGGCGGGGUGGCACGUCGGAUGCUGAAAGCCCCCGGCUCAACCGGGGAAGGGGCACCGAUACGACCGCCCUCGAGGGGCGUAGGGGGAGCUGGAACUUCCGGUGGAGCGGUGAAAUGCGUUGAGAUCGGAAGGAACGCCCGUGGCGAAAGCGAGCUCCUGGACGCCAACUGACGCUGAGACGCGAAAGCCAGGGGAGCGAACGGGAUUAGAAACCCCGGUAGUCC
rnacentral:rRNA from 1 species